GAUGGGAUGCUAUCUUUUUUCAGCCUAUAUCACCCGACGGAGAUAACGCAGCAAGGGAAAGGUGCGGACGUGGGGUGGAGUGCGGUAGGAUCUCCCCCGGACAUUGCCUCAGAUGAUAAGGGCAAUUUGCUUCGUUAUAAAAAGUGGCCGGAACCGCCGAAAGUGCAUCAGUUGACAUAAGUUGUAACUCCGUGCGUUAAGUUACCUCCCCGAGGUUUGAGCCGAAACCCCUCCCGAAACAGAUACGAUGAAAUACGUUCUAGUGACAAUCGCCCUCCUGGUACUGGCAGUGGCCCUGGUGUCCGCCCUCCCUGCCGUCCAAGAUGAAUCCCUUUUCGCCAAUCCCGUUGAAGUGCAGGAAAUAGAUGUCGUCAACCCGCAGGACCCACAGGAAUUCUUCAAACUGCGCAAACUUAAGCGCCUGCUCUUCUUGGGCUAAAUUAAGACAACUUCCAGCAACCAUACACGAAAA